CGAUGAAGGCCUUCGGGUCGUAAAGCUCUUUCGCGCAAGAACAAGGAAAUGGUGUGAAUAACACCGUAACUUGAGGGUACUGCGUAAAGAAGCACCGGCUAACUCCGUGCCAGCAGCUGCGGUAAUACGGAGAGUGCAAGCAUUAAUCGGAAUUAUUGGGCGUAAAGGGCGCGUAGGCGGAUAUAUAAGUCAGAUGUGAAAUUCCGAAGCUCAACUUCGGAGCUGCAUUUGAAACUAUAAAUCUCGAGGAUUGACGGAGAAAACGGAAUUCCACGUGUAGCGGUGAAAUGCGUAGAUAUGUGGAAGAACACCUGUGGCGAAAGCGGUUUUCUAGUUUAUACCUGACGCUGAGGCGCGAGAGCAAGGGGAGCAAACAGGAUUAGAUACCCUGGUAGUCCUUGCCGUAAACGAUGUAUACUUGAUGUAGUUAGGCUCAACCCUGACUGUGUCGAAGCUAACGCGAUAAGUAUACCGCCUGGGGAGUACGCUCGCAAGGGUG
rnacentral:rRNA from 1 species